UACGUAGGGAGCGAGCGUUGUCCGGAAUCAUUGGGCGUAAAGCGCGCGUAGGCGGCCCGAUAAGUCCGCUGUAAAAGUCAACGGCUCAACUGUUGAAAGCCGGUGGAUACUGUCGGGCUAGAGUACGGAAGAGGCAAGUGGAAUUCCUGGUGUAGCGGUGGAAUGCGCAGAUAUCAGGAGGAACACUCAUAGCGAAGGCAGCUUGCUGGGACGUUACUGACGCUAAGGCGCGAAAGCGUGGGGAGCGAACAGG
rnacentral:rRNA from 1 species